UACGUAGGGUGCGAGCGUUGUCCGGAAUUAUUGGGCGUAAAGAGCUUGUAGGCGGUUUGUCGCGUCUGCCGUGAAAAUCCGGGGCUCAACCCCGGACUUGCGGUGGGUACGGGCAGAUUAGAGUGUGGUAGGGGAGACUGGAAUUCCUGGUGUAGCGGUGAAAUGCGCAGAUAUCAGGAGGAACACCGAUGGCGAAGGCAGGUCUCUGGGCCACUACUGACGCUGAGAAGCGAAAGCGUGGGGAGCGAACAGG
rnacentral:rRNA from 1 species